rnacentral:lncRNA from 10 species
UUGUCCAGAGUCAAAGAUGCUCCACUGAGGCUGUUUCGCUUAGAAAUAUUUGGGAGCCUGCUGUGCUGGAACAGGGUCUCACUGGUGACUGCUACCACUUCAGGGCUGGGGUGCUGAGGGCCGCACAGCUGUACCCAGCAAAAACACUACUGAGAAUGAAGGCAGGGAACGUCAACGAACGUCAACGUGGCUGGAGUGCAGUGGCAUGAACAUGGCUCACUACAGCCUCAACCUCCUGAGCUCAAGCGAUCCUCCCACCCCAGCCUCCCAAGUAGCUGGGACUACAAGUGCAUGCCACCACGCCUGGCUACUUUUUGCAUUUUUUGUAGAGACAGGGUUUUACCGUGUUGCCCAGGCUUGUCUC